rnacentral:rRNA from 1 species
GGGUUGAAUGAGGGAUAAGCUGUCUUUUUAAUGAAGUUUGAAUUUUACCUUUAAGUGAAAAGGCUUUAAUUUUAUAAAGUGAAGAUAAGACCCUAUAAAACUUUAUAUAAUUACUAAUGUAUUUGUUUUAUUUUGUUAAAGAUAGUGCGAUUAAAUUCUAUUUUGUUGGGGCGACAAGAAUAAAUUUAAGUAUCUGUUUUUUUAAUGAAUUAAAGAUAAUUAAUUUAUGAUCCUUUGAUAAAGAUUAAAAGAUCAAGUUACUUUAGGGAUAACAGCGUAAUUUUCUUUGAGAGUUCUUAUCGACAAGAGUAGUUGCGACCUCGAUGUUGAAUUAAAAUUAUUCUAACAAGUGCAGCAGCUUGUAUAGUAAGUCUGUUCGACUUUUAAAAUU